rnacentral:rRNA from 1 species
UACAGAGGGUGCAAGCGUUGUUCGGAAUUACUGGGCGUAAAGGGCGCGUAGGCGGCCCGCUAAGUCGAACGUGAAAUCCCCGAGCUCAACUCGGGAACUGCGUCCGAUACUGGCGGGCUUGAAUCCGGGAGAGGGAUGCGGAAUUCCAGGUGUAGCGGUGAAAUGCGUAGAUAUCUGGAGGAACACCGGUGGCGAAGGCGGCAUCCUGGACCGGCAUUGACGCUGAGGCGCGAAAGCUAGGGGAGCAAACGGG